rnacentral:snRNA from 1 species
GGAUGUGAGAGCAAUCUGGCUGGCUAGGUGGAUGUCCCCUCCCUCCCUCACUGCUCCAUGUGCGUCCCUCCCAAAGCUGAAGGUGCAUGCCCAGUCAAAGAGGCUGACCAUCUUGGAUAGAACAGCACCAUUUCCUCGGUCAAGGGUAUACGGGCAGCUGCGCUCCUCUGCUACAACCUCCAAACAAGCUCUUGAGAUACAUCUCAUAUUUUGUUUGCACUAAGUUGUGGAAAUCCUGUGUG